CUUGAUGAACGGCUGAAUGGGUAGAGAAAGGGAGGCAGGGGCCAGGAGGAGAAGGGGUUCGCCAACUCUGACUCCAGACCCAAAGUGAAUAUCGGACACGAAAGGAAAGGAAAUAGGUUUGGGUUGAAAAGGGUGGGGAAGGGAGAUGGCCCCACCAGCAGACAGUCAAAAGCAAACCUAUCCAUUGUUCUUAAAGCCAUCAGUCAGCUUGACGGUGUCUCAUCAGCAGUGAGACACCAACAGUGUCUCACCCGCCUUCAUGUCCCUGGAAUAGUGGCUCAUCUCACCCCUGGGGCAGUGACAGCAUCUGCUCAUACGCAGGACCAAAGUUCAACCAAAGUACAGGGCACCAGGACUCCAAGCAGAGGUGUGACAUGAUGUGACUUACAUCCUAAGAGGAUUCUGCUGUGCUGACACUAAUGAAGACGAGGGUGGAAGAAGCAGGGAGACCAGUUAGGAGGCCAUCGCAGUGAUCCAGAUCUGAACACGGAUCCUCGCACAAAUGGUUUGAAAAAGAGACACCCGCAUCACUUCUCCAAUAUUUGGGCGCUAAAAACUUGCACUAUUGGGAGACCCUGAGCAUUCUAGUCAGCAGCCCCCAUGCUGUGCGGCUGCCCGAGCGUCUCCCGAAGAGGGUGGUGAGCAGGAGCUAUGAAGAUGGGUUCAGAAACUCCCCUGGAGAAGAAACCAUCUGAGCCACCCCUGUGCCACCAGCAAGAGGUGCUCUGGCCACGGCGGGAGGAGCUGCCUCCAAUUAAAAGUCCUUGGUUGCAUCACAGGA